rnacentral:lncRNA from 1 species
UCACUAUCACUAUCUCUCUUACUCUCUCUCUCUCACUCUCUCUCCAUCUCCCUCCUUCUCUGCUUUCGUUUGUAUUCACAUGUUUAAAUUACAUCCAGAUUUUGAUUUGACUGUUACUGGCGGUUAAUUGUUGAUCCUGAACUUCUGUUGCAAGCACAGCUACUAAAAAUGGUGGAAUAGAGAAGAAGACAGAGAGGGAGACACAUACACGCACGCACACACACACACACACACACACACUCAUACACAGCAGAAAAAAAAGAGAGAAAUAAAGAAGAGAGAAGAGAGAUACACAGAUAAAGAAAUGAUCAAGGAGUUGAAGAAAUUCAAAGGUGCCCCUUUUGGAACACAAAGAAUAAGGUUUGAUGCAUCAGGAGUACAUCCUGCUUUCAAGAAUAGAGGAUCUAUCUCAUGUGCUCCAAUCAGUGAUGAGUUUUACUCGAAAAGUGUGAGUAGAAUUUUCCAGUGAUUCUGUAAAAGCUUACUUGGCUGUGAUCUUAUGAAAAUCAUCUCUUUUGCAUGUUAAUUUAAAAUUUAAU